GUGUCAGCAGCCGCGGUAAUACGAAGGGGGCUAGCGUUGUUCGGAUUUACUGGGCGUAAAGCGCGCGUAGGCGGGUCACUAAGUCAGGGGUGAAAUCCCGAGGCUUAACCUCGGAACUGCCUUUGAUACUGGUGACCUGGAGAUCGGGAGAGGUUGGUGGAAUUCCGAGUGUAGAGGUGAAAUUCGUAGAUAUUCGGAGGAACACCAGAAGCGAAGGCGGCCAACUGGCCCGAUACUGACGCUGAGGCGCGAAAGCGUGGGGAGCAAACAGGAUUAGAAACCCGAGUAGUCC
rnacentral:rRNA from 1 species